AUACAGAAGGCCUUUGAUAGUGUUGUCAAGCAUAUAAAAGCUGAUAAAAAAUAUAAAGAUCUUGAUGUUAUUGAGAGAAAAAGUGAUAAAUUUAACAUCAAAAUUGCACAGAAUUCUGGCAAGAGUUUUGACAUAUACUCUACUUUAAAAAAAGCAAAAGAUUCCUUUGAAUCAGGAGAUAAUGAAACAGCUAUUUCUCUCCUUAAUCAGAUCAUUGCAAAGUUUCCUUAUCAUAAAAAUGCUUUAAUUGGAUUGGGAAAUAUUUAUUACGCUAAUAAAGAAUACAAAAAAGCUGUAGAGAUUUACACAAGACUGUUAAAAGAACACCCUAGUAACCCUUACAUAUUAAAAAAUUUUCUGACGAUAAUCUCACAAUAUGAUCCUGAUCUGGCGUUGAGUGAAAUGUUAAAAUUGUAUGAUAUACAUAAAAAUUAUGCUCCUUUAUUAGCAAAUUUAGGUCUGAUCUAUAUGAAAAAGGAGGAUUAUGUAAAAGCUGUUAUUCUAGAUAAACUUUCAGAUUUUCAAAAUGCUACAAUAUUCUACUUAAAGUUGUUAAACAUGGCUACAACUUCGAAAGAUCACGCACCCAAAGAUUUCAUAAAAGCUUAUAGCUUACCUAAAUCUAAUUUAUCGUAUCUGUUCAAGGGAGUGGCUAAUGUGCAAAUAUUGAAGCAAAGUGUGUGACACACAGCUGUACGAACAUUUGUUUGCAAAGAUCACCUUGUCUACCUAUUUUGCCACUCUGCUGAACGGAUACAAUUUAUUGCUAUUUUUGUUUACAAUAAUAAUAUUGAGCUAUAGAAUUAGAUCUAAAGGGGCAAUUAGCUCAGCUGGUAGAGCAUCUCGUUUACACCGAGGAGGUCGGCAGUUCAAGUCUGUCAUUGCCCAUUUGCUUAACUGAAUGUUAGUAUUAUUAAUUACUUCAAUUAAAGUAUAGAAAAUGCAGGAUAAUAUAGUACCAAUCUCAAUAGUAAAAGAGCUGGAAGAUUCUUAUCUUUCCUACGCAAUGAGCGUUAUCAUAAGCAGGGCUAUACCUGACGUGCGGGAUGGAUUUAAACCUGUUCAUAGGCGUAUAUUAUAUGCAAUGUCGAGAGCUGGAUUCGAUGCCGGUAAGCCAUAUAAAAAAGCGGCUCGUAUAGUUGGGGAUGUAAUGGGGAAAUAUCACCCACAUGGUGAUGCAGCUAUUUAUGAUUCCUUGGUUAGGAUGGCCCAAGAUUUUUCUCUUCUUUUACCACUUAUUGAUGGGCAAGGUAACUUUGGUUCGAUAGAUGGAGAUCCACCAGCUUCAAUGCGAUA